AAUAUGGGGGAAGAGAGUUCAGGUCAAACUAAAAAACACGCUCAUAAUCAAACAUCUCACUUAUUCACAUAUGACCCAAGAAAACCAAACUCUGCUGCACCGGAAAUCGCCUCCGGCGGCGGCUGAGGGCCAAACAUGAUAACUCAUACAUCAUUGAACGCAUCUCACUCUCCUCUACACAAAUCAUUCAUCCAUUCUUCAUAAUCCUAAAGAAAUCACCCUAACCAAGCCAAAUACCUCAAGAACCCUAAUUAUGAAUUCAUAAAUUAAAAUCUCCCAAUGGGGAAUCAAAGUCCAAUUGGUUGGGGCUUUGGUUCCUCAAGCCCUAAGCUACAUCAUGGUAUCUGAUUCAAAGCGAAAUGAUGAAGGAUACUUGACCUACCUGCCGAAGAAUAUGGAGAUGAAGACGACGGCAAAGAAGAAAUGAGAGGAUGAUGUUCAAGGCUGACUUUAUACUUGGAGUUUGGAUCAUGCUUCAAGAUACUUGGAAUGAAGGUACCAUGAACCAUGAUGACGACUUACUUGCAAACAAAGUAAUCUUGGCCAUGAAGUUAAAAGAGAAGAUGAAAAAUGAAGAAUCAAAGUGAAAAAUCAACAAUUAGGACUAAGGAUUAGAUUAGUUGACUUUGGUCAACUGGUUGACCAAAAAGUCAACAGUUAACCAAAGUCAACUGUUGGUCAAAAUCAAUUUUUGUUGUUGUAAUUUUUGUAUAAACUCUUUGUAAAUGGUAUUGUAUGAAUGAAAUGAAUAUUUUGGAUGAAAA